UCUAAACAAAACAUACAAACCUGAUACAGCCACACUAUUUAUUGUCCAUUGUUUGCGCUGAUCACACACACACAUUCCUAUUUCUAAUGACAGAGGUUAGUAGCAACCCCAGCAAGUCAAACUAGUGGCUCAGCCUUCAAUAAGCCCGAGCAGGACUAGAGCAACACAAAGAAUCCAUCCAUUCCAGACCUACCUUAAUCCACUAUCAAGAUGCACAUUCGAGAACAUCCUGUCAGGCUGUAUCACCGCCUGGUACGGCAACUGCUCCGCCCACAACCGCGAGGCUCUCCAGAGGGUGGUGCGGUCUGCACAACGCAUCACCGGGAGCAAACUACCUGCCCUCCAGGACACCUACAGCACCCGAUGUCACAGGAAGGCCAAAAAGAUCAAAGGCAACAACCACCCGAGCCACUGCCUGUUCACCCCGCUACCAUCCAGAAGGCGAGGUCAGUACAGGUGCAUCAAAGCAGGGACCGAGAGAGUGAAAAACAGCUUCUAUCUCAAGGCCAUUUGAUUUGAUCCUGACCACAAAAAAAUGUGGCUAAAAUGAAAUCCACAAUAGCCUAACCCUGAGAAGUGGGAUUUCCCCCUAGGGUGGUUGGGUUUAGGAGAGGUGGCAAUCUGCAGGCUUCCUCCACUUAAAAGCAGACCAUCCAUGUGUUCUUCUGUCCAUUAUAUUGCACACAGCUGUAACAUGGGAUAUGUCAUUCAUAAUAUAGGUUAUUUAACACAUUUUGCAUUAAUAGUGAUUGACAAUCCACCACACUUUGAGGAAACGUGCAAAAACGUCAAACAAGGUCAAAUAAAUACAAAGUGGACACUUUAUUUUACAAAUUAAUCUGUUUCUGUUUAUUUUUUUUCAUAUAUUGAUUUUUCUCAUUUAGACAAUGACUCAAAAUGUCAAUAACAAUGGCUAUAAUGUGAUAGAAGACAACAAAAAAAUGAGAUCCAAUAUACAUCAUAUAGACAUUAAAUACGUAUUGAAACAAACACCAAAAAGGAGAAUGUAAAACAACAAAAUAAACAUUUGAGUAAAAAAACAAGGUACAAGUCAGGGAAAAGCGUUGGUGUUUCAGCUGAAGUUCCCGCUCAAUGUCUAAAAGUGACACACAAUCAUUAAAGCCUUCUAUCCAAAAACCAUUGGUCGUCUUUCAUCGUCAGAGAAUAGAACAGCCAAUCAAUCACACUUUACAUCCAAGGGAAGGGGAUAGUAGUACAAGUAUGUCACGUCUAGAAAAUAACUACGGUGACGGCAUUCUGAGUAGAAUGACAGUUUUAAGGUAUGGCAGUGUAAAAAGUGCUGAUUCUCCCAUACUGAGGGAAUGAAGAUCAUCCCAACCCCACAUUCAUUGUGCUGGAGUACAGUAUAGCAUCAUUAUCAGAAUCCACCUGCAAUCUCUAGUCAUAUGUUCAAGACACAAGAACCAGUCUUAUCCAGGGCUAUACAUGAAUUCUCCACUAGUCUUUCCUCCUUUCGCAAAAUAAAUUCAUGUAAACGACAAGUAGAGUGAUGUUCAAUGUAGGGAUGUUGAGGACGCCUAGACCUGUUUCUCUAUCAGUGUGUGUGUGUGUGUGUGUGUGUGUGUGUGUGUGUAGAUCUUUGAAACCAAGAGACCCAAACAGACAGGCCCACAGAGCAGUCAGUAGCAAGGAGCCAUUCUACAUUGCGGGACAGGGACCUACUGGAUGGUGCAUACAAGAGGAGAGACUAAGACCACGAAGUAACUUUGACUGAAUAUAAAAAUAACCGUUUCUUGCAGUUCCAAUGUCAUUUCUCGAUGAUUUUUUUUUUUUUACGACUGGGAAUACAUUCUAUGCUAACAUGCAGAACUAGCAAGUGGUGCACUGUCUAUGUUAUAUUUCAGUGCAGGCCAUUCAGAAUAAUAGCAUUGAGAUCCUGGUAAGAGGACUAAGGUGCAUAUGUGCCAUUCAGUUCUCACGUAUUUCAUUGAUGAAGCUUUUGGGGAUUCUAGCAUUGUCUCUCAGUUCCAUCGCCAGUAUGUGAAGGAUCUCUUGGGUGGUUUGUGUUUGGGUGAAACUGCAGUGGAGAAACAGGUCUGUCAGUGCAACAGUUCAGGACAGUGGGUUUGAACAUGGAUGGAUCAAUGUGACGGGGUCAUGAUGAGAGAGGGCGGGGGCACCCACCUGCCGUGCCCACAUCUCAAAUCAUCUACACAUAGAGAGGCAAUCUGCUGGUUACAUGGCUGUCUUUGGAAGUGCUUCUGUGAGUGACUGAGGAAAAGCAGGUGACCCGUCCAGUCUAAACACUGCGUCUGCGGACGUAGAGCUACAUCAACCCAGUUGUCGCGCUCUCUCUCUCCAGUGUCUGUUACCCGCAACAGAUCAUUCAAGAACAUAAAGUCCUAUCAUGACCUGCCUGCCACGCCCACCUGGCUCCCACGAUCACACCCGUUCACAACAGCUGCAAGAAUGUGGAUUUAGAAACAGAUAUCAUAUUCAAGCGUCUCUCUGUCUCCCUUUCUGAUUCGAAAAGUGAAUCAAGGUUCAAGUUGGAAUUCAAUAAUUCAAGUAAUUUGUCGCUACAAAGUGAGGCUUUGUAGGUGAGACCCAUAGCUAGAUUGAUAGAUAGAUUAACUAGUCUAUGUUCCUGUCAUUGAGAAGCACCUUUUGUAAUAAACAUUGCAUUAUAUCAAUCCACAUUCUUGCAUUGUGUGUGUGUGUGUGUGUGUGUGUUGGACAACAGUGUUUGUUCAUAGGGUUAUGUGUUGCCGGGAAAAGUAGAGGAUUGCUCAGCAACUCAGAGAAGUACUUAUUGCUACAGCAAAUCAGAAUUGAAAUGCAUCAAUGUAAUUCAGGUAGUGUAGAACAGUGCCAGGUAUAAGCCCAUAGCAACCGCAGUUCACCUUAAACCACACAUCUCCUCUCUAUCUAAAACCAUAUCUCGUCAAACCAUUUGUUCUAAAUCACAUUUGUCUUGAAACAGAACAAAAGUUUGAAGGGUAUGUUAGUAUCAUAUUGCAGGUAAAAUACAGUCGAUAAAACUA